rnacentral:tRNA from 1 species
GGUGACGGUCGGCCGACGAGGCUGAACGGCGCUCCCCUGCUAAGGGAGUAUACGGUUUAUAGCCGUACUCGAGGGUUCGAAUCCCUCCCUUCACCGCCA